UUUUUUAAAAACAGAAAGUCUUUCUGGACUUUUGGCAGCUAUAUGAAGCUAGGAUUUCAAUGUAUUUAUUGCAAAUUUUAGGCUUUGUUCAAGAAGGAAAGAACACAGUGAAGUGAACUCCCAAUACUGGAGAGAAUCUGCCUUCACUUUCUUUUGGUACAAGAUUGUAAUUGAUUGCAAACUACAAGUUAGAAGAGCUACGUAUACGUGACUGUGGAGUAUUCUUCAGUUUGGAAGCUGUGAUGGCGCUCCAUAAGGGUUUUCAGGAACGCUAUUUAUGUGAAGUCCAUCGACUACCCAGAACAGGCAAUUUACUAUGACAAGAAAAUAAUCAUAAGUGUUUAAAUGUGAUGAGAGAGUUCCUGUAAUUGAGCCCCUCUGCAAAAUGUUUAGCUCUCAGUUUUGAAGCCAAUAAAAUGGCUGUUACUGCAUUAUCCAUCUAGCAGCUACUGUAGCUUAUGGCAGAAACCAUUAAGUUUAAUGUCUUAAAUUAUUAACCCAUUUGCCUCUCUGUCUUCCUCUGUGAGAGAG